AUGACGGUGGUCGACGCCGAGGCCCGGUUCCACGUGCUGGCGGUGGACGACAGCGUCAUCGACCGGAAGCUCAUCGAGAUGCUGCUCAGGACCUCCUCCUACCAAGGUGCCCAACCAACCUCGCCCAGAUUGCUCUCCCCUCCGUUGAAAUUUGCCUCUUCUUUUCUCCGCUGUUCGUUCCCAAAUCUCACGGCCGGAUUCUGUUCUUGGGAGCCGGCGCGUGCAGUCACCACGGUGGACUCCGGGAGCAAGGCGCUGGAGGUCCUGGGAUUGAGGGACGAGGGCGACGACUCCUCAUCCUCAUCCCCAACCUCCUCCUCCGCCCCUGCCCACCACCAGGAGGUGGGCGUGAAUUUGAUCAUCACUGACUACUGCAUGCCCGGCAUGACAGGAUACGAUCUGCUGAGGAGGGUCAAGGGGUCAUCUUCAUUGAAGGACAUUCCAGUGGUGAUCAUGUCGUCUGAGAAUGUGCCUGCCAGGAUCAGCAGGUGCUUGGAGGACGGCGCGGAGGAGUUCUUCCUCAAGCCCGUGAAGCUGGCUGACAUGAAGAAGCUCAAGUCCCACCUGGUCCGGCGGAAGCAGCCCCAGCUCCAGCCGCCGCAGCCACAAGAGAAGCCGCAGCAGCAGCAGAAGGCAGAGCUAGCGCCAACAGAGCUGGUGGAGGAAGUGGCAGCGGAAGUGACGGCCACCGGAAUCACGAGUGACUGCGGCGGCGGCAGCAGGAAGAGGAAGGCGGCGAUGAUGGAGCAGGACGGGACGACGAACGCGAGCCUCUCCGGGGGCAGCGGCGGCCUGGCGGUGGAGACCUGA
rnacentral:rRNA from 1 species